rnacentral:rRNA from 1 species
CGGGUGAGUAACACGUGAGCAACCUGCCUUUCAGAGGGGGAUAACGUUUGGAAACGAACGCUAAUACCGCAUAAUGUAUCGAUGGGACAUCCUGUUGAUACCAAAGGAGCAAUCCGCUGAGAGAUGGGCUCGCGGCCGAUUAGGUAGUUGGCGGGGUAACGGCCCACCAAGCCGACGAUCGGUAGCCGGACUGAGAGGUUGAACGGCCACAUUGGGACUGAGACACGGCCCAG